AACCACAACGGCGCAAACUCCCCGAAAGGCCAGCACCUCCCAAAUCCCAUCCCAAUCAUAACGAGAUCACCGGAACAACCCAAACCCCCAAAGGGGACAACUCACCCGUUCGGCCGUUCCCCCGAUUCCCAAAGAUCCACCCCCGCAGCGAACUCAAUCCGAAGCGAUUCGAUUCCCCGCAUCGGCCCGUUGCUGCUCCAAUUGCUUCGUGUGAUCAGUGGCUUCGUGCUUCUCUCUCUCUCUCUCUCUCUCUCUCUCUCUCUCUCUCUCCUCUGCCUGUUCUGGCCAGCGCGUCGCGGUUGAAGGUCGGGGUGGUCGGGCGGGAGCGCGAUGGCUGCGCCGCCGGCGAGGGCUCGCGCCGACUACGACUACCUCAUCAAGCUGCUCCUCAUCGGCGACAGAGCGGUGUUGGCAAGAGUUGCCUCCGACUGCGGUUGUUGUCUGAUGGUUCCUUCACCACUAGUUUCAUUACUACAAUUGGCAUUGAUUUUAAGAUAAGAACGGUUGAACUGGACGACAAGUGUGUUAAAUUGCAAAUUUGGUAUACAACUGGUCAAGAGCGGUUUAGGACUAUUACUCAGUUUCCUUUUAUCUCAGCAUACGUACUACCGAGGAGCCAUGGGUAUCUUGCUUGUUUAUGAUGUCACUAAUGAGCCAUCUUUCAACAAGAUAUACGAAACUGGAUCUGCAAUAUUGAACAGCAUGCGUCUGAUAAUGUAAAUAAAGUAUUGGUAGGCAACAAGGCUGAAAUGGAUGAGAGUAAAAGGGCUGUUCCUACUGCUAAGGGGCAAGCACUAGCCGAUGACUAUUUCAUCAAGUUUUUCAGGACUGUAAAUUCCUAUGCUGUGUUGUUUUGUUGUUUCACUGACGAACUUAUUCUGAUUUUAUUUCGUACUGUAUUUUUCAGAGUGCCAAGACUAACCUCAAUGUGGAGCAAGUUUUCUUCUCCAUUGCCCGAGACAUUAAGCAGACUUUCUGAAUCUGAUUCCAAGCCUGAGGAUCGGGUAGUCAAUAUUAGAAAAGAUCAAGGUGCCGAGGCUUCGUCUCAGAAAUCUGCUUGCUGUGGCACAUGAGCAAUGCUUUGUCUUCAUUAUCCUAAACUAUUUUGGCUAUGUUUUCUUACCUUUUUACUUGAUAUUGUAGGAAAAAUGUCAAGAAAAUAAUCGUGAUGUCUUUAUUCUGUUACUUGUUUUCAGUCUGUGCAACGAUUGCUCGUCUUUUUAGUUUACUGUCGCAGCCUCUCUUUUGGGUUGCUGCUGGUGUUUUUUUUUGGAGGGGGGUGGGGGUGGCAUUUUUGUUGAAAUCAAUCGGCACACCUACUUUUGCAACACUGUGUAAUCAAAUUUAAAUAAUUCUAUCUUCUGGUUUACAGGU